rnacentral:lncRNA from 7 species
GAGACGGAACCGCGGCACGACGCGAGUGGUGCUGAGGACAGCAGCGCCGGAGCCGGAAGGGAGGGAGAGCGGCACCGGGACAGGGAAAAACACCUGCGCGGCCAUAACCCACCUCCCUGAAUGGAGGAAUCUGUCCAGAGCUGUGCCCCUGCUUGCCACAGGAGCUGCGCGGGAGGAGAAGAACGUGGGCCAAAAGGUAAGAGGAGCUCCUUUGGGUUCUGGGCUUGAAGCAAAGCUGAGAAGCCAUGCCCGGGAGGAGGUGUGGGUAGCUACAGGCCACCUUGCUAUCUCCCCAAGAGAUGAGGUGUGUGGGCUAGGCACCGGGCAGGAGUGCUGGCCAGAAGCAAGCAUCUCUGUGGAGGAAGGCAAAGGGCGGAGGAGGUUCAGGGUAGCUACCGGGCAUGGCCUUGCUCAGCAAGGGGAGGAAAAGCCUGAAGGGCACGAGAAGGGGAUAGAGAAGGGCAGGCAGUAGGCGUGAAGCUGCGAGCAGAGUAGAGAGCAACUUGGCAGAGCAGCAAGCAGAGUAGGCAAGUGUUGAGGUUUGGCGUGAGUAGCAGCAAAAGCCCAGAGCAUCAAGAAGCAGGAAGUGAGGAGAAGGUAAGUGAAGGGCAGGCAAGGUAAUGGGAGGCAAAGGCAAGGGGAAAGGGGGGGGUAAGGGAGAAAGAAGGGAUGGGGAUGGGGAGGGGAUGGGUGAAGAGCAGAGCGGAGGGAAGGGCUGAGGGGAGGGCUGAAGGCAAACCUAUGAUGAAAAAAGAAAAGAAAAAAUAAGAACAAAAAAUAUGAAAAAAAGAGAAAAAAAGAAAAGAAAAAUAAGAAAAAGAGAAAAAAUGAAAAGGAAAAAGAAAAAAAAUGAACAAAAAAGAGUAAAAAGAGAAAAAAAUGAAAAAAAGAGAAAAAAGAGAAAAGAAAAAAGAACAUGAACAAAAAAGAGAAAAAAGAGGAAAGAUAAAAAAAGAAAAAAGAUAAAGAAAAGAGAAAAGAAAAAAAGAAAAUAGAAAUAAAAAAGAGGACAGAAAAAUAUGAAAAAAAGAAAAAGAAAAAAGAAAAGAAAAAAACAGUAGAUGAAAAAAGAAAAACAAAAGGAAAAACGAAUAAUGACAAGAGAAGAAAGGUAAAGAGAAAAGAAGAAAAAAGCCAAGUCAAAAAGUAAAGAAUAACUCGAAGGAAGGAGUGGAUGGCAAGAAAUACAGAGAAAGCAGUGCAUAGCACAGCAGAGCAAAGCAAGGCAAAAUAGCAGCCAAAGCCACGAGAAUCAAGAAGUCAGUGAAGAGCAGGAAAGGUAAGUUUCCCUUAAAGCAAGGGGGAAUGGUAGUGGAAGGGGAGAAAAGAGAGGGGAGGGGAGGGGAAGUGAAGGAGUGGGGGGAGAGGGGGAGGAGCAGUGGGGAAAGCGGUGGGGCUAGAGGGGGGUGAGGGGGGCAAGAGGGGGAGGGAGGAGGGGUGGAGAGGGGGGGAGUAAGUGGGGGCGUGGGUGGACGGGGGGGGGGGGAGAGGGUGGGAAGGAAAAAUUGGAGGUAGGGUGAGGGAAGGGGGAGGGUUGAAGGGAAAAUAAUGAAACAGAG